AGUGGGGAAUCUUGCGCAAUGGGCGAAAGCCUGACGCAGCAACGCCGCGUGCGGGAUGACGGCCUUCGGGUUGUAAACCGCUUUCAGUGGGGACGAAUUCAGACGGUACCCACAGAAGAAGCCCCGGCCAACUACGUGCCAGCAGCCGCGGUAACACGUAGGGGGCGAGCGUUGUCCGGAUUCAUUGGGCGUAAAGAGCUCGUAGGCGGCUCAGUAAGUCGGGUGUGAAACCCUCAGGCUCAACCUGGGGACGCCACUCGAUACUGCUGUGGCUAGAGUCCAGUAGAGGAGUGUGGAAUUCCCGGUGUAGCGGUGAAAUGCGCAGAUAUCGGGAGGAACACCAACGGCGAAGGCAGCACUCUGGGCUGGUACUGACGCUGAGGAGCGAAAGCGUGGGUAGCAAA
rnacentral:rRNA from 1 species